rnacentral:rRNA from 1 species
UACGUAGGCAGCAAGCGUUGUUCGGAGUUACUGGGCGUAAAGGGUGUGUAGGCGGUUGGAUAAGUGUGGUGUGAAAUCUCCCGGCUCAACUGGGAGGGUGCGCUACAAACUGUCUGACUAGAGUGCGGGAUGGGAAAGUGGAAUUCCUGGUGUAGCGGUGAAAUGCGUAGAUAUCAGGUGGAACACCGGUGGUGUAGACGGCUUUCUGGACCGUAACUGACGCUGAGACACGAAAGCGUGGGUAGCAAACAGG